GGCCAUAUCACAUUAAAACACCGAUUCCCGUACGAUCACCUAAGUUAAGCACCAUCGAGCCUUGUCAGUAGCUGGAUGGGUGAUUGCUUGGGAAUAUCAGGCGCCGUAAU